rnacentral:tRNA from 1 species
GCCUGGGUGGCUCAGUCGGUUGAGCGUCUGACUUCAGCUCAGGUCACGAUCUCGUGGUUUGUGGGUUUGAGCCCCGUGUCGAGCU